UACGAAGGGGGCUAGCGUUGCUCGGAAUCACUGGGCGUAAAGGGUGCGUAGGCGGGUCUUUAAGUCCGGGGUGAAAUCCUGGAGCUCAACUCCAGAACUGCCUUUGAUACUGAGGAUCUUGAGUUCGGGAGAGGUGAGUGGAACUGCGAGUGUAGAGGUGAAAUUCAUAGAUAUUCGCAAGAACACCAGUGGCGAAGGCGGCUCACUGGCCCGGUACUGACGCUGAUGUGCGAAAGCGUGGGGAGCAAACAGG
rnacentral:rRNA from 1 species